CGAUACUUGGUGUGAAUUGCAGAAUUCAGUGAAUCAUCGAGUCUUUGAACGCACAUUGCGCCCCCUGGUAUUCCGGGGGGCAUGCCUGUCCGAGCGUCAUUGCUGCCCUCAAGCCCGGCUUGUGUGUUGGGUCGCCGUCCCCCUCUCCGGGGGGACGGGCCCGAAAGGCAGCGGCGGCACCGCGUCCGAUCCUCGAGCGUAUGGGGCUUUGUCACAUGCUCUGUAGGAUUGGCCGGCGCCUGCCGACGUUUUCCAACCAUUCUUUCCAGGUUGACCUCGGAUCAGGUAGGGAUACCCGCUGAACUUAAGCAUAUCAAUAAGCGGAGGA
rnacentral:rRNA from 1 species